rnacentral:rRNA from 1 species
CCUACGGGUGGCAGCAGUGGGGGAUAUUGCACAAUGGGGGAAACCCUGAUGCAGCGACGCCGCGUGGGUGAAGAAGCGCCUCGGCGCGUAAAGCCCUGUCAGCAGGGAAGAAAAUGACGGUACCUGAAGAAGAAGCCCCGGCUAACUAAGUGACAGCAGCAGCGGUAAUACGUAGGGGGCAAGCGUUAUCCGGAUUUACUGGGUGUAAAGGGGGCGCAGACGGGGAUGCAAGCCAGGAGGGAAAGCCCGGGCCCAACCCCGGGACUGCGAUUGAAACUGGGUGGCUAGAGUGCAGGAGGGGCAGGCGGAAUUCGUGGUGUAGCGGUGAAAUGCGUAGAUAUCAGGAAGAACACCGGUGGCGAAGGCGGCCUGCUGGACUGCAACUGACGUUGAGGCCCGAAAGCGUGGGGAGCAAACAGGAUUAGAUACCCUAGUAGUC